GACGUAGGGCGCGAGCGUUGUCCGGAUUUAUUGGGCGUAAAGAGCUCGUAGGCGGCUUGUCGCGUCGACUGUGAAAACCCGCGGCUCAACUGCGGGCCUGCAGCCGAUACGGGCAGGCUAGAGUUCGGUAGGGGAGACUGGAAUUCCUGGUGUAGCGGUGAAAUGCGCAGAUAUCAGGAGGAACACCGGUGGCGAAGGCGGCGACCUGGACAGUAACUGACACUCAACUACGAAAGCGUGGGGAGCAAACAGG
rnacentral:rRNA from 1 species